CACAUGUUGAUUUCUGAUGAUAAUUUGACUAGCUUGGAUAAAAUUUGAUCCCGAUAAUCGUCAGGACCAUGCAAAAGAUGUAAUGAAAGAAGUGAGAUUUGAUCUUUUAUCGGCAGAAUUUCUCUUUGAUAGAGUUGGAAAAGAGGAAAUUAUUGUUUUGGACAGAUCAUGCAUAUCUUAUCUAUUGACCGGCCUACGCAACGUAAUGAACAAGACGCCUGUUUCAAAACAACGUCGACCAACGUCAGAUCAUCAAGUCUUGUAUUCUGUUGGAUGAAUGAGUAGAAGAGAAGCUAGUAAAAGUGGUGAAAAUUUUGAUCCUAAAGAAGGAAAAUGGACACCAAUUUGCUCCAUGAGUAUCUGUCGCUGGGGAGCAAGUAUGGGUUCAGUAGGACGUUAUCUGUAUAUUUGCGGUGGUAGCGAGGACCUUAUCGUCACGGUUUGAUACAGUUGAAAAGUACGAUCCGUGCAAAAAGAUUUCAACUCUGUUAUGCGACACUGUAACUCUCACUUUAUACAAAAGUCCAGAUUUGAAACACAGACAAAAUAAAAAUGCACAGUGUAAGGUUAUUAGGUUAUUAAAUGAACUCAGACGCUAUGCUAUGAUGAACUGCGCUGCAAAAUC